UACGUAGUGGGCUAGCGUUGUCCGGAAUCAUUGGGCGUAAAGCGCGUGUAGGCGGUUCGGUAAGUCCGCUGUGAAAGUCGGGGGCUCAACCCUCGGAUGCCGGUGGAUACUGUCGGACUAGAGUACGGAAGAGGCGAGUGGAAUUCCUGGUGUAGCGGUGAAAUGCGCAGAUAUCAGGAAGAACACCCGUGGCGAAAGCGGCUCUCUGGAACGGUACUGACGCUGAGACGCGAAAGCUAGGGGAGCAAACGGG
rnacentral:rRNA from 1 species